rnacentral:misc_RNA from 1 species
AGCGAGACAAGCUACAGCCAAGUCAGAACAAAAACUUCUAGCAACUCAUCAUAACACAACAGAACUACAGCAUUCUUGCUAACUUUAUAGCUAAUUGUAACCGACAUGAAAAAAGGAUAUGCUUAUUACCAAAUACUCACCGAAGCAAAGUUCUAGAGACGCUCGAUCUGGAUCGUAACAUGGCUGAUGUUAUACUCCCUCUUGAUGUAACCAAUCACUUGAUCCAACACAAGCUGAGCAUCCGCAUCGGGUUUGAUAGUCACAUGGCACGCUAGAAGAACCUUUCCUACGGUUAUCGCCCAUAUGUGCAACUCAU